CAAUUCUUUCUCCACCCAGGUUUUCUGAACAGCUUUGAGGAGUUACAAGCAGAGGAAUGUGGUAUUCUGAAUGGAUGUGAAAAUGGCCGGUGUGUAAGAGUCCAGGAAGGCUACACCUGUGACUGCUUUGAUGGUUAUCACCUGGACAUGGCCAAAAUGACUUGUGUUGAUGUGAAUGAGUGCAACGAGCUGAACAACAGGAUGUCUCUCUGCAAGAAUGCCAAAUGCAUUAACACAGAAGGUUCAUACAAGUGUUUGUGUCUCCCAGGGUACGUACCUUCAGACAAGCCAAACUACUGCACACCACUGAACUCAGAACUAGACAGUGAACUGGAGUAGAGGAAAAUCUCCAUAUCCUAAGCCCAUAUACUCUGCACUGUAUAAAGAAAAGGAAGAAAAGUAUUUAACUUGAGAAGGCAACGGAGUAGCAAAAGUAAGGGGAGAAAAGCAUUAAAAUGUGUCAAAGAUGAGACAUGAUGGGCUGAUUGUAUAUCAGCUUCAUGGAAGUGACAGACCAAAUGGACACAUUACUCUGUAUGAAAGAAACAAUCAAGUAUAUAGUGUGUUCAUAAGAAAAAAAAAAAUCUUUGAAAAUAAGCAAAAACAGUGCUGUUAUUUUAAACAGAAGAGCUUUGGUUUUCUGGUUUGUUGUUUUUUUACUAUUGCUUAAUUUGGCAUUUAAAUAGUGAUGGAAAUAUUUUAUAUUACUAUGUCAUUUUUUGAUUGUUCAGUUCCUUGCCUACUGUUUCUUUUCAGACCUUUUUUCUGAUCAGUACAAAUUCUAUGAUACAGAUAUUCUUAGGCCAUUUUAUAAGAACUGUUACACAGGGUAAUGCUCCUCCUCCUCUGGAACAUUGGUCAGUGACUUUUUUUUAAUUUGCUAGUUGUCUGCCCUGUGGAGCAGGCACCACUUGUUUUCAAAUGUUUAUAUACCUUGGCGAAAAGUCCUUAUAUUCAUUUUGUAUUCUGUAUGGUUGUUACUGCACUUAAAGUCUUUAGAACCUUUCUUGCCAAGUUCAAAGCUGCUAGUGGACAACAUUGGAUUCCUUUUGUACAUGAAAACAAAAGAUUUUAGCUCACGUCUGUAUUGUAAUGUAUAAAUUGAACACAAGAGAGAUCUUGUAUGAUUACCCUAACAUAUUAAAGCUGUAUAUUAAAACUCAAUAAAAUCACCUUUUUUUUUUAGAAAAA